rnacentral:rRNA from 1 species
AGUGAACGCUGGCGGUAGGCCUAACACAUGCAAGUCGAACGGCAGCACAGUAAGAGCUUGCUCUUACGGGUGGCGAGUGGCGGACGGGUGAGGAAUACAUCGGAAUCUACUUUUUCGUGGGGGAUAACGUAGGGAAACUUACGCUAAUACCGCAUACGACCUACGGGUGAAAGCAGGGGAUCUUCGGACCUUGCGCGAUUGAAUGAGCCGAUGUCGGAUUAGCUAGUUGGCGGGGUAAAGGCCCACCAAGGCGACGAUCCGUAGCUGGUCUGAGAGGAUGAUAAGCCACACUGGAACUGAGACACGGUCCAGACUACUACGGGAGGCAGCAGUGCGGAAUAUUGGACAAUGGGCGCAAGCCUGAUCCAGCCAUACCGCGUGGGUGAAGAAGGCCUUCGGGCUGUAAAGCCCUUUUGUUGGGAAAGAAAAGCAGCAGGUUAAUACCCCGCUGUUCUGACGGUACCCAAAGAAUAAGCACCGGCUAACUCCGUG